AGGAAAAGUUGUCAGCAAGGUUUAUCUAUGUGAAAAGAUGUCCCUGGUUAAUGAAAUGUACUUUUCAAUUAUACUUGAUCGUGCAACUGCUGGCCCUCUCAUUAUUGCUUGUCGAAAGGGUGGAACCAGCAUAGAAGACCUAGCAGAAAAAUUCCCCGACAUGAUUAUAAAGGUUCCAAUUGAUGUUUUCAAAGGAAUCAGUGAUGCAGAUGCUGCAAAGGUUGUUGAUGGUUUGGCUCCAAAAGUAGCUGACAGAAACGAUUCAAUUGAACAAGUGAAAAAGUUGUAUAAACUUUUCUGUGAAACUGACUGCACAAUGUUAGAGAUCAACCCCCUUGCAGAAACUUCUGACAACAAGCUGGUAGCUGCAGAUGCAAAGCUCAAUUUUGACGAUAAUGCUGCUUACCGCCAAAAGGAAAUAUUUUCUCUUCGCGAUUCAUCACAAGAAGAUCCUCGUGAGGUUGCUGCUGCAAAAGCCGAUUUGAAUUAUAUUGGCUUGGAUGGAGAAAUUGGUUGCAUGGUAAAUGGUGCUGGAUUGGCAAUGGCUACCAUGGAUAUUAUUAAGCUUCAUGGGGGAACUCCAGCCAAUUUUCUAGAUGUUGGUGGAAAUGCUACUGAAGGCCAGGUUGUCGAGGCCUUCAAAAUUUUGACUGCAGAUGAGAAGGUGAAAGCUAUUUUGGUGAACAUCUUUGGCGGAAUAAUGAAGUGUGAUGUGAU
rnacentral:misc_RNA from 1 species